GGAUUAGAGGAAAGAGGCAAAGAAAGAAAUGAAAUAUUAUGGACAAAUUUAUGUGGUUACUUAGCAACAUUUCAUAUUCUGUAUAAAAUAAUAAACAGUCAAAUUUGAGAAGGCAAUAAACAGAACAACUUUUGUUGGAUCCUUUUUUAUUAAUUUUUUAACUCCUUCGAUAUCAUUCAUCCAAAUUUUCUCAGUGUUUCUCGUAUGCACCAUGUGGGAUCUGGAUUCUCUUUUAUGAGCGUCUGAACUCCUUCGAUGUCACUCAUUAAAAUUUUCUCUGUGAUUCAUUGAAAAGAAAGUUUAUUUCUUUUGAAUCUUAAACACUAGCAGUUGUCCUCUGAUGUUUGAGAUUUGGUUGGGUAGAGAGAUGCCAAGGUCCUAAGACACUGCUGAUUGAGUCCAUAAGGUGAAAAUUGCUUUUGACCUGACACAAUCAGCCGCCGUUGUGUACCUUGCACCCCAGUGGAUAAACCUAAAAUUUGGCAGGUAUCCUACCAACUCGUUUUCUAUAUCAAAAUUGCUUUUGACCCUACCCAAUCAAACGCUGGCCAAAUUUUUACAUUUAAGAGCCUUGCAUGGUCACCACCCAGACCCCAAAAGAUGGGUAUCUUCUAUCCAUUCAGUUUCUAUUCCGGGUGACAGCCCACACCCUCAGGCGCUUGUCAAUUUUUGCCCACCAUAGGUGGGGAGAAACCAAAUUAGGGUUAGAGUCAAAUUUUGAGCCUCCGCAGGGGUGUCAAAAAGCACACCCACCGUUGUGUACCUCACACCCCAGUGGAUAAACCUAAAAUUUGGCUACUGCUGCGAACUUUUUGCUGGCUCAUCCAGCUGGUUUGCUUCUUGAAUUAUUUCGACCAACAUACUCGGUCAAAAUUGAUUCUUACAUUGUAAAGUUUUCAAUUAUACUCCCUAAAAACAGUCAAAUUUGAGAAGGCAAUAAACAGAACAACUUUUGUUGGAUCCUUUUUUAUUAAAUUUUUAACCCCUUUGAUGUCAUUCAUCCAAAUUCUAUCAGUUAUUCUCGUAUGCGCCAUGUGGGAUCUCAAUUUUUGGUUAAAUAUUUAAAAAAUGUCAAUAAAGAGAACAACUUACUUUUGUUGGAUCCAUUCUUAUUAUAUUUCUAACCCCUUCGAUGUCACCAUUCCUAAUUUUCUCAGUGAUACUCGUAUGCGCCAUGUGGGAUCUGGAUUGUCUUUUAUGAGCGUCUGAACUACUUCGAUGUCUUCAGAGCCAAGCCUUUACGAAUCAGUACCAAUUACACCCCCUUGCCUUCCGGACCGGCUAGGAGACAUGAUUUUCUCAUAGUCAUUCAGGAGGGGCUAGAAGGCUUGUAGACUGUCCAGCUUGGUCUCUGUAGCAACCAUCACAUGCAUAUCGUGUGAUCUGAGGUCGUCGAGGAAACAAGCUUUUUUUUUUUUUUGCUGGCUCAUGCAGCUGGUUUGCUUCUUGAAUUAUUUCGACCAACAUACUCGGUCAAAAUUGAGUCUUACUUAGUAAAGUUUUCAAUUAUACUCCCUAAAAACAGUCAAAUUUGAGAAGGCAAUAAACAGAACAACUUUUGUUGGAUCCUUUUUUAUUAAUUUUUCCACUCCUUUGAUGUCAUUCAUCCAAAUUUGUCUUUUAUGAGCGUCUGAACUACUUCGAUGGCUGCAGAGCCAAGCCUUUACGUAUCAGUACCAAUUACACCCCCUUGCCUUCCGGACCGGCUAGGAGACAUGAUUUUCUCAUAGUCAUUCAGGAGGGGCUAGAAGGCUUGUAGACUGUCCAGCUUGGUCUCUGUAGCAACCAUCGCAUGUAGAUUGUGUUAUCUGAGGUUGUCCAGGAAAGAAACUUGCUUCCACUUCGAGCUCAGACCACGCACAUUCAAACACCCAAGGUUAAGUGCAGUCAUUUAAAACAAAAGAAAUGCAAGGGUUCUACUUACUCUUUGACUUUUUCUAUUUCUGGCGGCACAUCCGUGACUGUGAUUUUCGAAGUUCUCUUUCCUGAGUAAGUCGGGAGCAGAACUACUUCUGCCAACUUCACUGUCCUUGUUGAAUCCAUUCUUAUCAUAUUUUCAACCCCUUUCAUGUCACCCAUCCAAAAUUUUCUCAGUGAUUCUCGUAUGCACCCUGUGGGAUCUGGAUUGUCUUUUAUGAAAAUUUCAGCUCCUUCGAUGUCACCCAUCCAAAUUUUAUCAGUGAUUCUCGUAUGCGCCAUGUGGGGUCUCAAUUUUUGGUUAAAUAUUUAUAAAAAUGUCAAUGAUGAGGAUUAGAGGAAAGAGGCAAAGAAAGAAAUGAAAUAUUAUGGAAAAAUUUAUGUGGUUACUUAGCAACAUUUCAUAUUGUGUAUAAAAUAAUAAACAGUCAAAUUUGAGAAGGCAAUAAACAGAACAACUGGCACUGUCAUGCUUUUAGUUGUCAGGAGGAAAGUAGAAAAAGUGUGACGUCACUUGUCCACCUUCGUUUCUUUCCGUAGAAUUUAUCAAAUUAAAAAACGCAAAGUUUAUCAAAAACGCGUGUAAAUAUAUCAAAUUAAUAAACGCAAAUUAUUUAGAAUGUAAAAAUAUAAUUUUCAACAGAGAGAAUUUAUCAAAAUAUAAAACAAAUGAAGCUUGAAGUUAAGUUUAAAAAUAAAUGUGAUACUUAUGCUCUGUAGAUACUUAUACUCUCUAAGGUCUCAGACACAUUGAUAUAGCUGUCGAAUUUGCUCCAAUAACUUUCCGAAUAUAUCGUCCUUAAAUUCAUAACGCCACAUGAAUUCGAUGAGAUGGGUCUGAAGUAAAUUUCGGGCUGUUCCAUUUUCUCUUUUGUUGCGAUUCUUUACAUGUUUCCAUAAACAGUCUAUGUGGUUGGUUUUGGCAAAUGUUACCGGAUCAACAAAAUUUAUUGAAUGAUUCACGGUCAAAUGCCUGUAUCCUAGCUGAUUGAGCGUAUUAUACUAACGCCAGAGGUCGGAAAUUAUGGUUGUACCAGGCAAUAUACGGUCUUGUAUAAUUUGUAAAAGGGUAUCCGCUCUCCGAUCUUCCACUGCCACUAAUAAACAUCUUCUGGUAUCUCUUAUGAUAAUCUCUUUCUAAAGCGCCAAAUACCCACUGCGUUUUAACCCGAUGGCCAACAUUAUAUUUCUUUCUAACAAACGCGCUUUCGUCUAUCUCUACAAUUCGGUUCGGCCCUCCGAGCUUAAUGUUUUGUGCAACAUAAUAUUCUGCACAUAUAUCACGGCAAAAAUUCCUCCAAUCUGUUACGGCUACAUUUGCUAUAUGACAUUCCUGUCCUAUUCCCUUGGCUAAAUCUUCUUUUGCCCAAUAAUGCAAUAUAUCUAUAAUUUGUUGACACUUCAAUUUACUAUUUUCUAAAAAUGUUCCUUUUCUAACUGAAACGGUUUUCCUACAAGGCCUUCCACAUGGCCAUAUUACUUCAUCCGACAAAUUUUUUUCCGCUAUUUCACUCAUGCUACCUCCACACAAUAUACAUAUUUUCUGGGUAUUCAAAAGGCCAUGUCUCUUAAGCCAAUUAAUGCUAUCUGCUGCUGUAGCCGUGGCGAUGGCAAUAUCGCGGUGAUUAAUUCCUUUUAGACUUGGAUAUGCAGAAGCCAUAUUGAAAAUUUUUUGGCACGUGUUGAUAUCAAAGAGAAGAACUUUCAAACUUUGAAUUACGCGCGGUUUCAGUGGUGGUAGUGGUGGUCAGUGGUCAUUCUGAUUGGUGUAUGUGAUCACGGUGGUGGGGGUGGGGGUGGUCAUUUGUGCAGAUUUCGUGUGAUUUCUUUUUUAAAAACAAUAAUGAAUAAUGCAAGAAUAUAUUUAUUUAUAAAGUUUAAACAGAACAUGGAAUGAAAUGUAUUUAUUUAUAAACUUUAAACUGAACUUCAAUUGUUUUAUAAACCUAACAGCGUGGUGGUAGGUAAAUAAACGGAGUAAAUUAACGAAGGUAUAAACUUGACGAUGGAAAUACACGAAGUUGACUUCUGAUUUUUCUACUUUCACUUCAGACGACUAAAGGCAUGACAGUGCCAAACAACUUACUAUUGUUCGAUCCUUUUUUAUUAAAUCUUUAACCCCUUCGAUGUCACCCAUCCCAAAUUUUCUCAGUGAUUCUCAUAUGCACCAUGUGGCAUCUGGAUUGUCUUUUAUGAGCAUUUGAAAUCCUUCGAUGUCACCCAUCGAAAAUUUUCUCUCAUUCUCGUAUGCGCCAUGUGGGAUCUCAAUUUUUGGUUAAAUAUUUAUAAAAAUGUCGAUGAUGAGGAUUUGAGGAAAAAGGCGAAGAAAGAAAUGAAAUAUUAUGGACAAAUUUAUGUGGUUACUUAGCAACAUUUCAUAUUGUGUAUAAAAUAAUAAACAGUCAAAUUUGAGAAGGCAAUAAACAGAACAAUUUUUGUUGGAUCCUUACUUAUUAAUUUUUUAACUCCUUCGAUGUCACCCAUCCACAUUUUCUCAGUGAUACUCGUAUGCACCAUGUGGGAUCUGUAUUGUCUCUUAUGAGCGUCUGAACUCCUUCGAUGUCUGCAGAGCCAAGCCUUUACGAAUCAGUACCAAUUACACCCCCUUGCCUUCCGGACCGGCUAGGAGACAUGAUUUUCUCAUAGUCAUUCAGGAGGGGCGAGAAGGCUUGUAGACUGUCCAGCUUGGUCUCUGUAGCAACCAUCGCAUGCAUAUCGUGUGAUCUGAGGUCGUCGAGGAAACAAGCUUUUUUUUUUUUGCUGGCUCAUGCAGCUGGUUUGCUUCUUGAAUUAUUUCGACCAACAUACUCGGUCGAAAUUGAUUCUUACAUUGUAAAGUUUUCAAUUAUACUCCCUAAAAACAGUCAAAUUUGAGAAGGCAAUAAACAGAACAACUUUUGUUGGAUCCUUACUUAUUAAUUUUUUAACUCCUUCGAUGUCACCCAUCCACAUUUUCUCAGUGAUACUCGUAUGCACCAUGUGGGAUCUGUAUUGUCUCUUAUGAGCGUCUGAACUCUUCGAUGUCUGCAGAGCCAAGCCUUUACGAAUCAGUACCAAUUACACCCCCUUGCCUUCCGGACCGGCUAGGAGACAUGAUUUUCUCAUAGUCAUUCAGGAGGGGCGAGAAGGCUUGUAGACUGUCCAGCUUGGUCUCUGUAGCAACCAUCACAUGUAGAUUGUGUUAUCUGAGGUUGUCCAGGAAAUAAGCUUGCUUCCAUUUCGAGCUCAGACCACUUACAUUCAAACACCCAAGGUUAAGUGCAGUCAUAUAAAACAAAAGAAAUGCAAGGGUUCUACCUACUCUUGACUUAUUUUAUUUCUGGUAGAAUAUCCGUGACUAUGAUUUUCGAAGUUCUCUUUCCUAAGUAAGUCGGGAGCAGAACUACUUCUGCCGACUUCAAUGUCCUUGUUGAAUGUUCCCUAGCUUUUUCUUUGCUAGGGAAACGCACCUCUACAAUGCCGAAGCGACUACCCUUCGUUAUGUAACUUGUUUGUUGCCAUAUCAGCCUCAAGCAUUUUUGGAUUGCUUCCCUCAGUACAAAAUCGAUUUUUUUAUUCUUGACAGUUUUUCUAUCACAGCUUUUUUCCUCAACAGUUCUCGUAGCAGUGCAAACAGCUGCAAACCUAUUUUCAGGCAAUGUUUAUAUACCUUGUAGCUCACUCCAUUGUUCCCUGGUGAACUUUUUGCUCUUGCUUUUCUUAUGAACUCAUCCAUUUCUUUCCGUUUGAUGUCACUCAAAUCAAAUGGUACUCUUCUGGCGGCACUUCUGCAAUCUUGACCCAGGACGUCCUCUGUCCCAUAUAGGUCAGCAGAAGUACCACCUCCUUAGUUUUUAGGGGACUCACGGAAUUCCCGCAGGCCACCUCUUCCCCCGAGGAGCUGUUCUCCUUCCCAUGUAUGUUGGGAGCAACACCACAUCCUUUGUUUUUAGAUGACUCACUGAGUGCUCGUGCGCUUUUCGUUCGUCUUGAAUCUGGCCUUUAUUGUUCCAUAUGCCCGGCCCCUCACUAUGCAUUUUAUAUCUUUCCAUAUAGGGACCAGGUAUUUUUCUAUUUCACAUUCACACUUUUCGAAGUGCUUAAAUUUUUUUGAUGAAAGAUGGUACGUUUUGUAAACGACUGUCCUCUUCAUAUUUUCAACACUAGGGGAGGGUGAGAUCUUUAUAUCCCCACCCUCCUCUUUCAUUCUCUGGAAAAGCUCAAAGAGCUUCUCUGUUUCAAUCAUAAUACCUCUUGAAGACACAGCGGCUACUGCCGCAAACUUUUUUGCUGGCUCGUCCAGCUGGUUUGCUUCUUGAAUUAUUUCGACCAACAUACUCGGUCAAAAUUGAAUUCUUACAUUGUAAAGUUUUCAAUUAUACUCCCUAAAAACAGUCAAAUUUUUAGGUCGUCGAGGAAAGAAACUUGCUUCCACUUUGAGCUCAGACCACGCACAUUCAAACACCCAAGGUUAAGUGCAGUCAUUUAAAACAAAAGAAAUGCAAGGGUUCUACCUACUCUUUGACUUUUUUUAAUUUCUGGUGGAAUAUCCGUGACUGUGAUUUUCGAAGUUCUCUUUCCUAAGUAAGUCGGGAGCAGAACUACUUCUGCCAACUUCACUGUCCUUUUUGAAUCCAUUCUUAUUAUAUUUUUAACCCCUUUGAUGUCAUCCAUCCAAAGUUACUCUAAUUUUCGCAUGUGCUAUGUGGGAUCUGGAUUGUCUUUUAUUAAAUUUUCCACUCCUUUAAUGUCAUUCAUCCAAAUUUUCUCAGUGAUUCUCGGAUGCGCCAUGUGGGAUCUCAAUUUUUGGUUAAAUAUUUAUAAAAAUGUCGAUGAUGAGGAUUAGAGGAAAGAGGCAAAGAAAGAAAUGAAAUAUUAUGGACAAAUAUAUCUGGUUACUUAGCAACAUUUCAUAUUGUGUAUAAAAUAAUAAAUAGUCAAAUUUGAGAAGGCAAUAAACAGAACAACUUACUAUUGUUGGAUCCAUUCUUAUUAAAUCUUUAACUCCUUCAAUGUCACUCAUCCAAAUUUUGUCAGUGAUUCUCGUGUGUGCGCCAUGUGGAAAUAUGACUCAUGGCUGCCUCAUCCCAAAUGUUAAGGUUGCCCUCAUUGAGAAGAUUCCCCAUGGCUGAGCCACGACUAACAUUGCAAGUUGGAUUUCCCUUUUUGGUCAAGUCUGGUGGUCACUUGAAGGCUGAGUGUGCCGUACGACCGCCAUGCAGUAGAGUUGCUGCAAUGCUGCUGGAUGCAACCGCUAUGGCAAUCCAAUUUUCCUGGCGAAUUUUUGUCGAGCAGGAGGUUCAUGAGAAAAGCUUUUCCAUUUCCGCCAGGAACAUCCAAGAAAAACGAAGUCGUCCUUCGUUAGAAUUACCACUGUUGAGGAUCUUGUUGUAUGCAAUUCUCUGUACUUCCAAAAGUCUAGGCUCAUCCUGAGCAACCUGUGCUGCCAUUUCUUGCGUGUUGUAGCUCUCAACUCUCGCAUGUACUCAGCAGUCAAAGCAUUUGGAAUGUCCCACGGAGUCGGCAAACCGAAAUCUGAGGACGCCAAUACCUCCCAUAGUUUGCAGUCGCGAUUCCAAAUCGAGGAGGGCUUUUUUGUAGAAGACUUUAUUGGGGUCAAAUGCAGGCAUUGGAUCCUAGGCUUGAAAUCUUCGGAGACAGUCUUCGGACCAACUAUCUUUAACCCUUUAAUGUUCGCAUUAUUCUGCCAAAAUUUAUGCUUUUUCAUCCACACUGUUUUGAACUAAUCAUGCAUCAUCUUGUAGCUAUGAGAUUUUGAUGAGGUAGCUAUUAAUUUUUAAGAUGAUAUUGUAGGGUUGGUGUGAGAGACCAGAUCUGGCCAGUUUGAACAUAAAACGGGUAGAAUAUUUUUGGCCAGAUAUGGCUGGUUUAAAUGCUAAAGGGUUAAAUGUCUCCCACAAAAGAAGAGGGUCAGACGUAUUACUGAAUAAUAGCAAGAUGAGACAAGAGCCUUCUUCUAACAGUUAUGGUUGAUAUUUAUGAAGUACUUGUCUCAUUGAAGUCUGCACAGAGCUCCAACGAUGUCUUUCUCCUGUUUCUGAGCAACUGAUGGAUGAUAGAUCUGUCUUCACGAAGAGAUGUAACCUUUUUUUCCUUCAUAUUUUUUUGUAUCGUCUUCACAUCUUUUGUCCCCUGAAGUGCUUGAAAGUCGUUGGCACCACACAUCAUCAUCAUCAUUAUCAUCAUCAUCAUUUAACGUCCGCUUUCCAUGCUAGCAUGGGUUGGACGGUUCGACCGGGGUCUAGGGAGCCAGGGGCUGCUCCAGGCUCCAGUCUGAUCUGGCAGAGUUUCUACACCUGGAUGCCCUUCCUAACGCCAAUCACUCCGCGAGUGUAGUGGGUGCUUUUUACGUGCCACCUGCACAGAAGCCAGUCGAGGCGGCGCUGGCAUCGACCACGUUCAGAUGGUGCUUUUUAUGUGUCACCGGCACAGGUAUCACAACUACUGUUUCCAUUGAUAUUUGGUUGGAGAAUAUUUCGUCUUCUGAGCAAUUUGCCUUUGAGAAAUUCCAUCUUCAUGAUGAGCUUAUGAUUUGACCUCACUCACACACAUUCAACUCCCCUGUUUUAGCCAUUUUACUGUUUAUUAAUUGUAUCUACGGCGUAUUUCAGCAUAAAACUCUGAAAUAAUCAGGGAAACAUGAGUUAAUUUUAGACGUUGGUCUUACUCAUAAUUAGUUGCGAUUUUCUUUCUCUUUUACUGGUUUCAGUCAUUUGACUGCGGCCAUGCUGGAGCACCGCCUUUAGUCGAGCAAAUCGACCCCGGGACUUAUUCUUUGUAAGCCCAGUACUUAUUCUAUUGGUCUCUUUUGCUGAACCGCUAAGUGACGGGGACGUAAGCACACCAGCAUCGGUUGUCAAGCAAUGCUAGGGGGACAAACACAGACACACAAACACACACACACAUACGUAUAUAUAUACAUAUAUACGACAGGCUUCUUUCAGUUUCCGUCUACCAAAUCCACUCACAAGGCAUUGGUCGGCCCGGGGCUAUAGCAGAAGACACUCGCCCAAGAUGCCACGCAGUGGGACUGAACCCGGAACCAUGUGGUUGGUUAGCAAGCUACUUACCACACAGCCACUCCUGCGCCUAUAUAUACAGUAUAGUAUAAAAAUGGUAAUUGAUUCUAAGGGAUGGUCAUCCAGAUAUCAAAACUACUGUAUAUUGUGAAAUAUACCACAAUCUACCACGUGCAUGAGUUUCAUUAACACUGAGAUAGCAGAACCCCAAAACAUUGGGUUGGCCUAAUACUUUUGGCCAAGGCUGUAUGUAUGUAGCUAUAUAAGAACACAGAUGGGUUGAGAUUCACUAUAGCUGUUUCGAACACAUUAUUUAUUUUUUUGGUGACCAAAUCACUUAUAUCCUGAAAAAAAACUGUUUUUUUCUACAUGAAUACUCUUACUCUUUACUCUUUUACUUGUUGCAGUCAUUUGACUGUGGCCAUGCUGGAGCACCGCCUUUAGUCGAGCACAUCGACCCCAGGACUUAUUCUCUUUUUUUUCAUUUGCCAAACCGCUAAGUUACUGGGACGUAAACACACCAGCAUCUGUUGGGGGGACAGACACACAUACAUAUAUAUGUGUGUGUGUGUGUAUAUAUAUAUAUAUAUAUGCAUAUAUACGACGGGAUUCUUUCAGUCUCCGUCUACCAAAUCCACUCACAAGGCAUUGGUCGGCCCGAGGCUAUAGCAGAAGACACUUGCCCAAGGUGCCACACAGUGGGGCUGAACCCGGAACCAUGUGGUUGGUAAGCAAGCUACUUACCACACAGCCACUCCUGCACCUAUAUAUAUAUAUAUAUAUAUAUACACACACACACACAAUUUCACAUUGCUGUAAAUAUGUACAUAUGCUCUCGUCAGCAUAUAUAUGUCUUCUUUUUAUUUUUUGUAAAUGAUUUGAACAAAUUUUUAUUGUUAAAUUACCUUUGAGAGAAGGCAUCAUUGUCACUACAUCUGCUUUGAUCUCUCUUCUCUCCUGCACACCUCACAGACAUACACCUGUUUUCAUUCCUUGGUAUUAUUAAUUUUCAGACAUGGAUUGAAACAUUUUUCAUAACUCUUGUUUAAAAAUUUCAAAAUAUAUGUAAUUUUUUUUUCUUGAAUAAAAAUGUACCAACAAC
rnacentral:lncRNA from 1 species